UUAGGCAUAUUAAUAAGGGGAGGAAAAGAAACUAACGAGGAUUCCGUCAGUAGCGGCGAGCGAAGACGGAAGAGCCCAGCGCUGAAUCCCCCGGUCCUGCUGGUCCGGCGGGAAAUGUAGCGUUAGGGAGCGUCCGUUAACUCGGGUGCGCGCGGCGAGCACAAGUCUCCCUUGAACGGUGCCACAGUCCACAGAGGGUGCCAGGCCCGUACUGCCGCCGCCGCGUCCGGGUGGGCGUCUCCUGGGAGUCGGUCUGUUUGAGAACGCAGACCUAAGCGGGUGGUAAACUCCAUCUAAGGCUAAAUACGACCACGAGACCGAUAGCGCACAAGUACCGUGAGGGAAAGGUGAAAAGAACUUUGAAGAGAGAGUUCAAGAGUACGUGAAACUGGAGAGGUGAAAACGGAUGUGGUUCGAAAUUCCGAACGGUGGUGUUCAGUCUCACCGGCUUCCCGGGCCUCCCCGCCGUUUGAGACCAAGGGUCCUCGCCGGCGUGCGGCCGUCCCUCCGGGGCGGUCGUCGCGUCGCCCGGUCCCCUCUCGGCGGGGUUUUUUAAUAUAAUCGGCUCCGGGGCGGUGUGGAUGCACUCGCUGCCGUAGUAGGAUGUCGCGACUCGUUGGGUGUCGGUCGCGAGGCCGGUAGGGGCAGCCCGGUGUCCGUGUGUCGUGCACCUCUGAGGUGAAAUGCACGCGGUGCGGCCCGGACCCCUCACGCCGUGCCCUCUCCGACUGCCCGACGGUAUCGAAAAGGCGCCGGGGCUUCGUGCCCGCUUUUAACGCAGCCCCUUGCUCGUCUCGGGGCAGGCGGGCCAUGCGCUCCCGGCUGUCUGCGGCAUUGCCUGUUUCGGAUCCAUAUCCGACCCGUCUUGAAACACGGACCAAGGAGCGUAACACAUGCGCGAGUCGAAGGGCAAUCUUACGAAACCCGGAGGCGAAGCGAAAGCGUAAGGGACGAUGGCACACUGCGCCGUGCUCUGCCGCCCGGGGAGUAACAUCCCCGCGGUGGCAUCCGGCCGGCCCGCAGUCCCGGGGCACCUCAUACGGCACUCGGUGGUUUCCCUCUUCUUUCCUCCUCUCGGGGAGGGGGUCGGGGGUUCUCUUACCGCCGUGUGUCGAGGCGCACCUGCGAGCGUAUGUGUUGCUACCCGAAAGAUGGUGAACUAUGCCUGGCCAGGACGAAGCCAGGGGAAACCCUGGUGGAAGUCCGUAGCGAUUCUGACGUGCAAAUCGAUCGUCGGAGCUGGGUAUAGGGGCGAAAGACUAAUCGAACCAUCUAGUAGCUGGUUCCCUCCGAAGUUUCCCUCAGGAUAGCUGGCACUCGGAGGAUACAGAGAAACGGGUGACGAGUCUCAUCCGGUAAAGCGAAUGAUUAGAGGCCUUGGGGCCGAAACGACCUCAACCUAUUCUCAAACUUUAAAUGGGUGAGAACCCCGGCCUGCUUGAGACCGGUGUGCCCCGUGCGCUUUCGCGUCGCAACCCUCUAGGGGGCCGGCGGGUUCGCCGGGGUCCCGGAAUUUUUCUUUUGAUGAGGCCGGGGACGAGACAUUGACCGAUGGAUCAUGGGUGCCAAGUGGGCCAAUUUUGGUAAGCAGAACUGGCGCUGUGGGAUGAACCAAACGCAGAGUUAAAGCGCCUAAAUAGACGCUCAUGGGAGACCAUGAAAGGUGUUGGUUGCUUAAGACAGCAGGACGGUGGCCAUGGAAGUCGGAAUCCGCUAAGGAGUGUGUAACAACUCACCUGCCGAAGCAACUAGCCCUUAAAAUGGAUGGCGCUGAAGCGUCUUGCUUAUACUCUGCCGCCGGUGGCAGAAGCGGCCGGUAAGGCGGACGGCCUCCCUCUGGUGGGGGAGAAACCGGCCCCGAGCCUUGAGGCCCCGGUGAGUAGGAGGGUCGCUCGGGUGUGCGCAGAAGGGUCUGGGCGCGAGCCUGCCUGGAGCCGCCCGAGGCGCAGAUCUUGGUGGUAGUAGCAAAUACUCCAGAGAGGGCCCUGGAGGGCUGAUGCGGAGAAGGGUUCCGUGUGAACAGCUGUUGCACACGGGUCAGUCGAUCCUAAGCCCUAGGAGAACUCCUAUGUGCGAUGUGCGGGUGUGACGAAUGGAUGUUUUUUUUCUUUUGUCUUGCUGCCCGUCGCCGGGCGAAAGGGAAUCAGGUUCCUAUUCCUGAACCCAGAUGCGGUACCGUUUAUCCGGGCUUGUCUCGAAGCCGUCCGCUCCUCUCUCAUCCCCCCCUCGCGGGGUUCUCAUGGGUCUGGAGGCCAGGUGCGUGCCUAGGGCGAACUCGUCGGGGUAACCCGAACAGUCACGGAGAAGCCGGCCGGAGCCCCCGGGAGAGUUGUCUUUUCUGUAUUACCGUGCAAGUUCCCUGGAAUUCCAUUGCGGAGAGAGAGGGAAUAGUGCGGGAAGAGCACCGCACUUGCGGCGGUGUCGGGGGUGACCGCUCGGACCAUGAAAAUCCGUGUGAGGGCUACGGAGAACAACCGAUCUGGCUCGUACCCAUAUCCGCAGCCGGUCU
rnacentral:rRNA from 1 species